rnacentral:rRNA from 1 species
UGACGCUGGCGGCAGGCCUAACACAUGCAAGUCGAGCGGUAGCACAGAGAGCUUGCUCUCGGGUGACGAGCGGCGGACGGGUGAGUAAUGUCUGGGAAACUGCCUGAUGGAGGGGGAUAACUACUGGAAACGGUAGCUAAUACCGCAUAACGUCGCAAGACCAAAGUGGGGGACCUUCGGGCCUCAUGCCAUCAGAUGUGCCCAGAUGGGAUUAGCUAGUAGGUGGGGUAACGGCUCACCUAGGCGACGAUCCCUAGCUGGUCUGAGAGGAUGACCAGCCACACUGGAACUGAGACACGGUCCAGACUCCUACGGGAGGCAGCAGUGGGGAAUAUUGCACAAUGGGCGCAAGCCUGAUGCAGCCAUGCCGCGUGUGUGAAGAAGGCCUUCGGGUUGUAAAGCACUUUCAGCGGGGAGGAAGGCGAUAAGGUUAAUAACCUUGUCGAUUGACGUUACCCGCAGAAGAAGCACCGGCUAACUCCGUGCCAGCAGCCGCGGUAAUACGGAGGGUGCAAGCGUUAAUCGGAAUUACUGGGCGUAAAGCGCACGCAGGCGGUCUGUCAAGUCGGAUGUGAAAUCCCCGGGCUCAACCUGGGAACUGCAUUCGAAACUGGCAGGCUAGAGUCUUGUAGAGGGGGGUAGAAUUCCAGGUGUAGCGGUGAAAUGCGUAGAGAUCUGGAGGAAUACCGGUGGCGAAGGCGGCCCCCUGGACAAAGACUGACGCUCAGGUGCGAAAGCGUGGGGAGCAAACAGGAUUAGAUACCCUGGUAGUCCACGCCGUAAACGAUGUCGAUUUGGAGGUUGUGCCCUUGAGGCGUGGCUUCCGGAGCUAACGCGUUAAAUCGACCGCCUGGGGAGUACGGCCGCAAGGUUAAAACUCAAAUGAAUUGACGGGGGCCCGCACAAGCGGUGGAGCAUGUGGUUUAAUUCGAUGCAACGCGAAGAACCUUACCUGGUCUUGACAUCCACAGAACUUUCCAGAGAUGGAUUGGUGCCUUCGGGAACUGUGAGACAGGUGCUGCAUGGCUGUCGUCAGCUCGUGUUGUGAAAUGUUGGGUUAAGUCCCGCAACGAGCGCAACCCUUAUCCUUUGUUGCCAGCGGUUCGGCCGGGAACUCAAAGGAGACUGCCAGUGAUAAACUGGAGGAAGGUGGGGAUGACGUCAAGUCAUCAUGGCCCUUACGACCAGGGCUACACACGUGCUACAAUGGCAUAUACAAAGAGAAGCGACCUCGCGAGAGCAAGCGGACCUCAUAAAGUAUGUCGUAGUCCGGAUUGGAGUCUGCAACUCGACUCCAUGAAGUCGGAAUCGCUAGUAAUCGUAGAUCAGAAUGCUACGGUGAAUACGUUCCCGGGCCUUGUACACACCGCCCGUCACACCAUGGGAGUGGGUUGCAAAAGAAGUAGGUAGCUUAACCUUCGGGAGGGCGCUUACCACUUUGUGAUUCAUGACUGGGGUGAAGUCGU